GAGAGUGGACCCUUUAUCAAUGGGAUUAGUGCCCUUACAAAAAGGGGCCAGAGACCUAGCUAGUUCUCUUCUGCCAUGUGAGGAUACAAUGAGAAGUAGACAGUUGGUGAUAUGGUUUGGCUGUGUCCCAAUCCAAGUCUCAUCUUGAAUUGUAGUUCCCACAAUCCCCACGUGUGGUGGGAAGGACCCAGCGGGAGGUAACUGAAUCAAGGGGGCAGUUUCCCUCAUGCUAUUCUUGUGAUAGUAAGUUCUCACGAGAUCUGAUGGUUUUAGAAGGGGCUUCCCCCUUCAGUCGGCUCUCAUUCUCCUUCCUGCUGCCCUGUGAAGAAGAACAUAUUUGCUUCCCCUUCUGCCAUGAAUGUAAGUUUCUUGAGGCGUCCCCAGCCAUGCCAAACUGUGAGCCAAUUAAACCUCUUUCCUGUACAAAUUACCCAGUCUCCAGUAUGUUCUUAUAGCAGUGUGAGAAUGGAUUAAUACAGCUGGAGACCCAGAAGAGGGCUUUCUCCCAGAACUGGACCCUGCUGGCCCCCAAUUCUCAGACUCCAACCUCGGAACUGUGAGAAAUAAACCUGACUAAGGUUAGACCUGACUAAGACAAAUGGAUACUGCUGCAGUGAUCUUUCCACAUAGAGCUUUUUCUCUUCUUUGCAAAAAUUUCCUUAGGACAAAUUCCCAGGAGUGGGAUUACCAGGUCAAAAGUCAUUAAUAUUUUAAAUGGCUGUGUGAAUUGACAUAAUGCUUCACAAAAGAACUGGGCUGAUUUAUAUUUUAGCCAAUGAUGUAGAUAUAUACAAGUUUCACCAGCCCCUCUUGGGAUCUUAGCCCUUCUAAUGCCU
rnacentral:lncRNA from 10 species